UACGUAGGGUGCAGGCGUUAAUCGGAAUUACUGGGCGUAAAGCAUGCGCAGGCGGUUUGCUAAGACAGGUGUGAAAUCCCCGGGCUUAACCUGGGAACUGCACUUGUGACUGCACGGCUGGAGUACGGCAGAGGGGGAUGGAAUUCCGCGUGUAGCAGUGAAAUGCGUAGAUAUGCGGAGGAACACCGAUGGCGAAGGCAGUCCCCUGGGCCUGUACUGACGCUCAUGCACGAAAGCGUGGGGAGCAAACAGG
rnacentral:rRNA from 1 species